ACAUAGCAAUAGCUCUAGGCUUCCAUCCUAAAUCUGAGCAAAACUACUACAUUUUCUUGUUUUGGACCAUGCAAAAUAGCUUUAGGCUAAUGAAGUCUCAGAACAUAGAAAAAUAGUAACUCCAGACUAAGUUCAGAUUGCCCCCGGAAGAAACAUUCAUUGCAGCAACAGAUAUGAGACCUAAUUGUUUUCCCAUUGAUUUGAGAAUUGAAGACCUGCACGAUCAUCAUCAUUCAUCAGUCCGCCUCCAGAUCCCUACAAAAAUGAAGAACAUGGACACUCAAUCGAUUUAUCAAACCAAAACUUGAUAUAUCUGUUUUCACCAAUAUUGCAAGUAUAAUCAUGCCUAACUGGUUGGCUAGCUAGCAAGAAACAUAGAAUCAACAACUACCGGUGCUAGUAAAUGAGUAAAUACAAAGUUACACGAUUGUGGGUUGCAUGUUCUUUCCUACCAUCACAUUCAGUCGUUGUGCGGAAGCGCCAUGUACUCCAUCGCCCACCCAGAUAUCACCACAUGUAGGAUCAGCAAGACGAUUGACACGAUAAAACCGGUAACAUUAGGCCACUGCAAAACCAAUCAUCAGACCCUCAUUGGUACGCACUGCCGUACAUAUGCGCAAGUGGAAAACAAAGCAAUACGAUCCUACCAUCACCAAAGGAUCAUCCCCGAGCCAACCAAACCAAAUCCACACCAUGUAGUUUCCCAUUGCAAAACUUAAGAAUCGCAUGGCUGGUAUCCUCUCCAUCCCCUCCUCCAUCACAUAUGGCUGCAUUUGUAAUGGAGACAUAAGUCACAGAUGGCUCAACGAGGCAUAGUUCGAACCACAAUUUUUACUUACCAAACCGGUGAGUGGUGAUAAAGCGAGUAUUUAACCAAAAACUACCACAUUUCAUGAAAACGUGCCCAGAAACUACCACUUUAUGAUUUUGUACGAAAAACUACCAUUUUUUUCCUAAUCCUUUGCUAAAAACUACCAGUCUGAAAAGUGAUGGACUAAACCCGAUUAUGAUAGGCUGGGCCCACCCAUCAAUGCGGAAAUAGCCAACACCGUUGCUUUGACCGUGAAUAUGUGGGGCUCAUAUGCCAGUUCCAUCUCCUUGCUCUGAAAUUCCCCACCGAGGAUCCAGAUCAGGGGCGCCGCCAUGCCGCAGCUCAGGCCACACUCCACCUCCUUCCCCUCAGCACCUCCAUCCUCCAACCAUCUACCCAGCC
rnacentral:lncRNA from 1 species